UGGGGGGACCAUCCUCCAAGGCUAAAUACUCCUGACUGACCGAUAGUGAACCAGUACCGUGAGGGAAAGGCGAAAAGAACCCCGGCGAGGGGAGUGAAAAAGAACCUGAAACCGUGUACGUACAAGCAGUGGGAGCACGCUUAGGCGUGUGACUGCGUACCUUUUGUAUAAUGGGUCAGCGACUUAUAUUCUGUAGCAAGGUUAACCGAAUAGGGGAGCCGAAGGGAAACCGAGUCUUAACUGGGCGUUAAGUUGCAGGGUAUAGACCCGAAACCCGGUGAUCUAGCCAUGGGCAGGUUGAAGGUUGGGUAACACUAACUGGAGGACCGAACCGACUAAUGUUGAAAAAUUAGCGGAUGACUUGUGGCUGGGGGUGAAAGGCCAAUCAAACCGGGAGAUAGCUGGUUCUCCCCGAAAGCUAUUUAGGUAGCGCCUCGUGAAUUCAUCUCCGGGGGUAGAGCACUGUUUCGGCAAGGGGGUCAUCCCGACUUACCAACCCGAUGCAAACUGCGAAUACCGGAGAAUGUUAUCACGGGAGACACACGGCGGGUGCUAACGUCCGUCGUGAAGAGGGAAACAACCCAGACCGCCAGCUAAGGUCCCAAAGUCAUGGUUAAGUGGGAAACGAUGUGGGAAGGCCCAGACAGCCAGGAUGUUGGCUUAGAAGCAGCCAUCAUUUAAAGAAAGCGUAAUAGCUCACUGGUCGAGUCGGCCUGCGCGGAAGAUGUAACGGGGCUAAACCAUGCACCGAAGCUGCGGCAGCGACACUAUGUGUUGUUGGGUAGGGGAGCGUUCUGUAAGCCUGUGAAGGUGUACUGUGAGGUAUGCUGGAGGUAUCAGAAGUGCGAAUGCUGACAUAAGUAACGAUAAAGCGGGUGAAAAGCCCGCUCGCCGGAAGACCAAGGGUUCCUGUCCAACGUUAAUCGGGGCAGGGUGAGUCGACCCCUAAGGCGAGGCCGAAAGGCGUAGUCGAUGGGAAACAGGUUAAUAUUCC
rnacentral:rRNA from 1 species